rnacentral:rRNA from 1 species
UACGUAGGGGGCGAGCGUUGUCCGGAUUUAUUGGGCGUAAAGAGCUCGUAGGCGGCUUAGCAAGUCGGGUGUGAAAACUCCAGGCUCAACCUGGAGACGCCACUCGAGACUGCUAUGGCUAGAGUCCGGUAGGGGACCACGGAAUUCCUGGUGUAGCGGUGAAAUGCGCAGAUAUCAGGAGGAACACCGGUGGCGAAGGCGGGUCUCGUGGGCAACAACUGACGCUGAGGAGCGAAAGCGUGGGGAGCGAACAGGAUUGAGA